rnacentral:tRNA from 1 species
GGGGGUGUAGCUCAUACGGCAGAGCGCUCGCUUCGCAUGCGAGAGGCACGGGGUUCGAUUCCCCGCACCUCCA